rnacentral:rRNA from 1 species
CCUACGGGAGGCAGCAGUGGGGAAUAUUGGGCAAUGGGCGCAAGCCUGACCCAGCAAUGCCGCGUGAAGGAAGAAGGCUUUCGGGUUGUAAACUUCUUUGACAGGGGAAGAGCAGAAGACGGUACCCUGAAAACAAGCCACGGCGAACUACGUGCCAGCAGCCGCGGUAAUACGGAGGUGGCAAGCGUUGUCCGGAUUUACUGGGUGUAAAGGGCGUGUAGCCGGGAAGGCAAGUCAGAUGUGAAAUCUGGAGGCUCAACCUCCAAAUUGCAUUUGAAACUGUUUUUCUUGAGUACUGGAGAGGCAGACGGAAUUCCUUGUGUAGCGGUGAAAUGCGUAGAUAUAAGGAGGAACACCAGUGGCGAAGGCGGUCUGCUGGACAUCAACUGACGGUGAGGCGCGAAAGCGUGGGGAGCAAACAGGAUUAGAUACCCGGGUAGUC